GGUAACCUGCCCUUUGGUGAGGAACAACAUCUGGAAACGGAUGCUACUACCUCAUAAUGUCAACUUCGGUUGGGAAAGAUGGCAUGAGCUAUCGCCACGUGAUGGGCCUGCGUCCCAUCAGCUAGUUGGGAGGGUAAUGGCCUACCAAGGCGACGACGGGUAGCUGGUCUGAGAGGAUGAUCAGCCACACUGGAACUGAAACACGGUCCAUACUCCUACGGGAGGCAGCAGUGGGGAAUAUUGCGCAAUGGGCGAAAGCCUGACGCAGCGACGCCGCGUGAGUGAUGAAGGCCUUCGGGUCGUAAAGCUCUGUUGUAGAGGGAAGAACACGCAUACGGGUAAUAUUCGUAUGCCCUGACGGUACCUUCACCGAAAGCCCCGGCUAUCUCCGUGCCAGCAGCCGUGGUAAUACGGAGGGGGCGAACGUUGUUCGGAAUCACUGGGCGUAGAGAGCAUGUACGCGGCUUGUUAAGUCAGAUGUGAAAGCCCGCGGCUCAACCGCGGAAGAGCAUUUGAAACUGGCAGGAUAGAAUACAGUACAGGGUUGUAGAAUACCAGGUGUAGACGUGAAAUUCGUAGAGAUCUGGUAGAAUACCGGUGGCUAAGGCGGCAACCUGGACCGAUAUUGACGCUGAGAUGCGAAAGCGUGGGGAGCGAACAGGAUUAGAUACCCUGGUAGUCCACGCCGUAGACGAUCGAAUACUGGAUGCAGCGGGUAUCGACCCCUGCUGUGCCGUAGCUAACGCGUUAAGUAUUCCGCCUGGGGACUACGGCCUCACGGCUAAUACUCAAAGGAAUUGACGGGGGCCAGCACAAGCGGUGGAGCAUGUGGUAUAAUUCGAUGCAACGCGCAGAACCUCACCUGGGUUUGUAAUCCUCUGACAAGCCUUAGUCGGUAUUUCUCUUCGGAGACAGAGUGACAGGUGCUGCAUGGCUGUCGUCAGCUCGUGUCGUGAGAUGUUGGGUUAAGUCCCGUCACGAGCGCAACCCUCGUUGUUAGUUGCCAUCAUUAACUUGGGCACUCUAGCGAGACUGCCGGUGUCAAACCGGAGGACGCUGGGGAUGACGUCAAGUCCUCAUGGCCCUUAUGCCCAGGGCUACACACAGUGCUACAAUGGCCGGUACAAAGAGCAGCCAACUUGCGAAAGUGAGCUAAUCUCACAAAGCCGG
rnacentral:rRNA from 1 species